UCUUCCGUAGUAUAGUGGUCAGUAUGUGAGCUUGUCACCUGGUUUCAACUCUCAGGAGUUGCGAUCAAGACAUCGCUCGAGACCCGGGUUCAAUUCCCGGCGGGAGAG